CUUGGGAUACCACCCUUGUAGUACUGGGACUCUAACCAUAGGCCAUGAAUCUGGUCUUGGGACACUGUCAGGUGGGCAGUUUGACUGGGGCGGUCUCCUCCCCAUAGGUAACGGAGGCGCUCAAAGGGUUUUUUAGGACGGUCGGAAAUAGUACGUAGAGAGUAAAGGCAAAAGUGAGCUUGAUUGCCAGACAUACAGGUCGAGCAAGGAUGAAAAUCGGACUUAGUGAUCCGGUG
rnacentral:rRNA from 1 species